AGAGUUUGAUCCUGGCUCAGAUUGAACGCUGGCGGCAUGCCUUACACAUGCAAGUCGAACGGUAACAGGUCUUCGGAUGCUGACGAGUGGCGAACGGGUGAGUAAUACAUCGGAACGUGCCCGAUCGUGGGGGAUAACGCAGCGAAAGCUGUGCUAAUACCGCAUACGACCUACGGAUGAAAGCGGGGGAUCGCAAGACCUCGCGCGGACGGAGCGGCCGAUGGCAGAUUAGGUAGUUGGUGGGAUAAAAGCUUACCAAGCCGACGAUCUGUAGCUGGUCUGAGAGGACGACCAGCCACACUGGGACUGAGACACGGCCCAGACUCCUACGGGAGGCAGCAGUGGGGAAUUUUGGACAAUGGGCGCAAGCCUGAUCCAGCCAUGCCGCGUGCAGGAUGAAGGCCUUCGGGUUGUAAACUGCUUUUGUACGGAACGAAAAAGCUCUCUCUAAUACAGGGGGUGAAUGACGGUACCGUAAGAAUAAGCACCGGCUAACUACGUGCCAGCAGCCGCGGUAAUACGUAGGGUGCAAGCGUUAAUCGGAAUUACUGGGCGUAAAGCGUGCGCAGGCGGUUAUGUAAGACAGAGGUGAAAUCCCCGGGCUCAACCUGGGAACUGCCUUUGUGACUGCAUAGCUGGAGUGCGGCAGAGGGGGAUGGAAUUCCGCGUGUAGCAGUGAAAUGCGUAGAUAUGCGGAGGAACACCGAUGGCGAAGGCAAUCCCCUGGGCCUGCACUGACGCUCAUGCACGAAAGCGUGGGGAGCAAACAGGAUUAGAUACCCUGGUAGUCCACGCCCUAAACGAUGUCAACUGGUUGUUGGGUCUUCACUGACUCAGUAACGAAGCUAACGCGUGAAGUUGACCGCCUGGGGAGUACGGCCGCAAGGUUAAAACUCAAAGGAAUUGACGGGGACCCGCACAAGCGGUGGAUGAUGUGGUUUAAUUCGAUGCAACGCGAAAAACCUUACCCACCUUUGACAUGUACGGAAUCCUUUAGAGAUAGAGGAGUGCUCGAAAGAGAGCCGUAACACAGGUGCUGCAUGGCUGUCGUCAGCUCGUGUCGUGAGUUGUUGGGUUAAGUCCCGCAACGAGCGCAACCCUUGCCAUUAGUUGCUACGAAAGGGCACUCUAAUGGGACUGCCGGUGACAAACCGGAGGAAGGUGGGGAUGACGUCAAGUCCUCAUGGCCCUUAUAGGUGGGGCUACACACGUCAUACAAUGGCUGGUACAAAGGGUUGCCAACCCGCGAGGGGGAGCCAAUCCCACAAAGCCAGUCGUAGUCCGGAUCGCAGUCUGCAACUCGACUGCGUGAAGUCGGAAUCGCUAGUAAUCGUGGAUCAGAAUGUCACGGUGAAUACGUUCCCGGGUCUUGUACACACCGCCCGUCACACCAUGGGAGCGGGUUCUGCCAGAAGUAGGUAGCCUAACCGUAAGGAGGGCGCUU
rnacentral:rRNA from 1 species